CAGCAAGCGAGGGCUUCCCAGCGAUUCUCCACCCUGGGGGAGGUAGCCCAAGGCCAGCCAGGGACGAGCUCCGGACCUGAGCCUCCCCCCCCUGGCAUGCAGAAUGCCAGACAGCUGAUGGAGCCGAUCAGUCUGUUCAGCUACGGAGGUGUUCGGGUCGAGGAAACAGGGAACCUACCCAUCGUGCACAUCCCGUCUCGAUUUCCACCCUCCGCUGCUGUUGAGGUAGUAUCAUUGGUUUGGGAGCUUUGGGCUACUUCUCCUUACAAACCUGAGAUGUAACCUUCCUCUCAGUGUAGCUGGACAGGCAUAGUGCACUUAGUGGCAUAUUCCAUCACCACACACCUUUGUUAGGACUCUAUCUGUUAAGGAUUUCUACAUCUUUCUGUACAGCUCUUUAUUUUCCUCCUUUCAAAAAAAACACAAAAAGACCAAAAAAACUCUACCUUGUAGAAACAGUAGUGGUAAUGUUAGGACUCUAUAAGUUAAGGAUUUCUAAAUCUUUCUGUACAGGUCUUUCUUUUCCUCCUUUAAAAAAAAAACAAAAAAGCAAAAAAAAUAAAAAAAUAAAAAAAUAAAACAUUCUAUGUAGACACACUUAAGAUAUGUUUAGGAUUCUUGAGCAUUCUACAUGUAGUUUAAGUAUUUCUAAAGCUUUUGUACAGCUACUUGUCUUCUUGCUUUCAAAAAAGAAAUGUUUUUGUAAAGUUUGACAACUGAUGGAAA
ensembl:lncRNA